rnacentral:piRNA from 1 species
UAUGGGAUCAAAUCUCACAGGAGC